AGUGAACGCUGGCGGUAGGCCUAACACAUGCAAGUCGAACGGCAGCACAGUAAGAGCUUGCUCUUACGGGUGGCGAGUGGCGGACGGGUGAGGAAUACAUCGGAAUCUACUUUUUCGUGGGGGAUAACGUAGGGAAACUUACGCUAAUACCGCAUACGACCUACGGGUGAAAGCAGGGGAUCUUCGGACCUUGCGCGAUUGAAUGAGCCGAUGUCGGAUUAGCUAGUUGGCGGGGUAAAGGCCCACCAAGGCGACGAUCCGUAGCUGGUCUGAGAGGAUGAUCAGCCACACUGGAACUGAACCACGGUCCAGACUCCUAGGGAAGGCAGCAGUGGGGAAUAUUGGAAAAGGGGGGCAAGCCUGAUCCAGCCAUACCGCGUGGGUGAAGAAGGCCUUGGGUUGUAAAGCCCUUUUGUUGGGAAAGAAAAGCAGCAGGUUAAUACCCCGCUGUUCUGACGGUACCCAAAGAAUAAGCACCGGCUAACUUCGUG
rnacentral:rRNA from 1 species